UACAGGGGGGCAAGCGUUGUUCGGAAUUACUGGGCGUAAAGGGUUCGUAGGUGGCUUACUAAGUCAGACGUGAAAUCCCUCAGCUUAACUGGGGAACUGCGUCUGAUACUGGAAAGCUUGAGUGCAGGAGAGGAACGCGGAAUUCCAGGUGUAGCGGUGAAAUGCGUAGAUAUCUGGAGGAACACCGGUGGCGAAGGCGGCGUUCUGGACUGUAACUGACACUGAUGAACGAAAGCCAGGGGAGCAAACGGGG
rnacentral:rRNA from 1 species